rnacentral:rRNA from 1 species
ACCUUUACUAUAGCUUCACAGUGGACUCUGAUAUUACUUGUGUAGGAUAGCUGGGAGGCUUUGAAACCUAGGCGCUAGCUUAGGUGGAGCCAAUCUUGAAAUACCAGCCUGGUACUAUUGGGGUUCUAACUCUGGACCAUUAUCUGGUUCGAGGACAUUGUGUGGUGGGUAGUUUGACUGGGGCGGUCUCCUCCCAAAGCGUAACGGAGGAGUACGAAGGUACGCUAGGUACGGUCGGAAAUCGUGCUGAUAGUGCAAUGGCAUAAGCGUGCUUAACUGCGAGACUGACAAGUCGAGCAGAUGCGAAAGCAGGACAUAGUGAUCCGGUGGUUCUGUAUGGAAGGGCCAUCGCUCAACGGAUAAAAGGUACUCCGGGGAUAACAGGCUGAU